rnacentral:snRNA from 1 species
GAGUGAAAACAGCUCUUAAAGAAUUUUUUCUAACAGGAUUUCUGACUUGCUCAGGGUUAGGUCAGAAAUCCCAA